CAGCCGCCGCGGUAAUACCGGCGGCCCGAGUGGCGGUCACUAUUAUUGGGCUUAAAGCGUCCGUAGCCGGGUUGGGAAGUCCUCCGGGAAAUCUGGCCGCUUAACGGUCAGAAUGCCGGAGGAUACUCCCAGCCUAGGGAGCGGGAGAGGCCGAGGGUAUUCCCGGAGUAGGGGUGAAAUCCUACAAUCCCGGGAGGACCACCUGUGGCGCAGGCGCUCGGCUGGAACGCGUCCGACGGUGAGGGACGAAGGCCAGGGGAGCAAACCGGAUUAGAUACCCGGGUAGUCCUGGCUGUAAACGAUGCGGACUUUGUGUCGGACAAGCUAUGAGCUUGUCCGGUGCCGGAGGGAAACCGUUAAGUCCGCCGCCUGGGGAGUACGGCCGCAAGGCUGAAACUUAAAGGAAUUGGGG
rnacentral:rRNA from 1 species